rnacentral:rRNA from 1 species
UACGUAGGUGGCAAGCGUUGUCCGGAUUUACUGGGCGUAAAGAGCGCGCAGGCGGUCGUGCAAGUCGCGUGUGAAAGCCCCCCGGCUCAACUGGGGAGGGUCACGCGAUACUGCUCGACUGGAAGGCAGGAGAGGGAAGUGGAAUUCCCGGUGUAGUGGUGAAAUGCGUAGAUAUCGGGAGGAACACCAGUGGCGAAGGCGACUUCCUGGCCUGUUCUUGACGCUGAGGCACGAAAGCGUGGGGAGCAAACAGG